UUCAACUUUUAACGUUUCGUUUAAAAUUUUAAUUAUUUUUGCAAAUAUGUGGUCCAAACUGCUUUUGAUUUCUCUCCUAACUUUACUGGCAGCAAUAAUAAUCCAUAUAUAUUUUAUUGGAGAUGAAGUAUGCUUUUUAACCACUGAAAAUUUAAUUAUUAUGGAAAUGGUAAAAGGUUGUAUGAUCAGCUGUGGAAUAUUAUUUACUUUCUUACUUGCAAUAUUAGCGGGCUUCUGGCAUAUAAUCAAAAAUUACCGUAGGCGCGCUGGUCUCAAAAACUAAAAUUCUUUUAACAUUGGUGGAAAUAAAAUGGAAUGGACCUGCAACUUAAGAAAUGUAAUGUUUCUUAAAAUUGUUAAAACAGAAGAGGAGGAGGGGUGACAAAAAUUUCUAACAGCAGAAAUUACUCAGUAAUAAUUUUUGCAGACUAAUUUGCAGACAAAAUUAACAUUUUUAUUUGAAAGGCUAAAGUAAUUGUUAAGGAAAAUAUUACGACUUAAGUAAUAUUCCUCUCACGGACGUAUGGGGAAACUGUUUCCAUUUCUCAGUGGAAAGGACUAAUAAAAUUAAAGACAAAUUUUAUUUUAUUACUAAAGUUUUAUUUUUCAAAUCAAAAUAAAUGUGGAAC